rnacentral:lncRNA from 1 species
UUCAGAUUUCCAGAGCUCUGUCUCUGUACAGCCCUCUCCUCCUCAAUAUUCUGCCCUAUGAAUUCUAGCCACAUUGGCCUUCCCAGACUCAGAGUUCUGUCCUCUCAACUCAGGAAGAUCUCUGAGCUCCAUCUGCAUUCUUUCUUCCUGUGCUGUGGCCUGGAAAGUUUUCUAAGGUGUUUGGGAGCUGAGUGCCACGUGCUGACAUCACUAAGAUCAAUACAGCAAACUCUGAAAGAUGGACAGAGAGACAGGAGAUGGUCCUUUAUAAUGCAGUGUGAUCUGUGCUGCAAUAGAGAUGGAAGAGUGUUCUGAUCGGCUGGAAAACAACGCACAUGGGAAGCUGUACAGAAAUGAGUGGGGAAAGUUUUGGAAGCUAGAAGUUCAAAACGAGGUGUUGGCAGCACCAUGCUCUCUCUGAAGAUGCUAGGAAGAAUCUGCUCCAUGCCUUUCCAUUCGCUUCUGGGGUUUCCUGCAAGCCCUGACAUUCCUUGGCUUGUGGAUGCAUCACCCCAGUUUCCGUCCCCAUCAUCACAUGGCCUCCUCUCUGUGUGUGCCUCUGCGUUCCCUCUAUUCUUCUUCUAAGGACACCAACACCAGUCAUAGUGGAUUAAGGGUCCACUCCUAACUAAUUACAUCUGCAACAACCCUAUUUCCAAAUAAAGUCACAUUCUAAGAUUCCUAGGGAGAACAUGAAUUUUUGGGGGUGUGUGGAUACUGUUCAACCUGGGACAUGGAGUAAAUAAAUGGCAAGGAAGAUUACAGAUGACUUUAAGCUAAAGAGGGAGAUAGGGUUAAAUGUAGGACUUUUUUUUUUUUUCCAGGACGGGAG